rnacentral:pre_miRNA from 10 species
CCGGCUCUCGCCCAGUGGUGUUAAUAUCUCGCUGCGGCCUCCAAAAAUGUUGUACCCAGGCGAGUUAGAGAAAACGCCACACUUUGAGACGAAUUAAGAGUCCUUUAUUAA